ensembl:lncRNA
GCAGCAGGGUGGAGAUGCGACACCGUUAGCAUAACAGCUCGCCAAGGCGGUCGACCUCCCGCCAAGAUUUGCUUGUCAGAUUGUGUAAAACAUGACGUCCUCCUCUCCUCGCACGCAGACCCACGGCUUUCGCGUGCACACUUUGCCCUUUGGUCAUCGCCGGCAACGUCACCGGAAGCACCUGGAAUGUCACCGUUUGUGUGUGAGAGAAGCGAGGAAGGACUGCUGAAUCUUCUCUUCUGGCCGCUCCCAACGGGGCUUUCAUUUUGCGAUGAUGCAAAAUAAUAUCUUUAUGGAAUGGAUUUUUUUUUUUAUUAUUUCAAGGCAUGCAGACAAACAUCUUAAAGUCAGCUCCCACUAAAGUACCACUUCCUUUUGUAAGUUAUCAGAAUGAAAUGUUAUUGCCUUCA